rnacentral:rRNA from 1 species
GACGAACGCUGGCGGCGUGCUUAACACAUGCAAGUCGAACGGAAAGGCCCUGCUUGCAGGGUACUCGAGUGGCGAACGGGUGAGUAACACGUGGGUGAUCUGCCCUGCACUUCGGGAUAAGCCUGGGAAACUGGGUCUAAUACCGGAUAGGAGCCAUUUUUAGUGCGAUGGUUGGAAAGUUUUUUCGGUGUAGGAUGAGCUCGCGGCCUAUCAGCUUGUUGGUGGGGUAAUGGCCUACCAAGGCGGCGACGGGUAGCCGGCCUGAGAGGGUGGACGGCCACAUUGGGACUGAGGUACGGCCCAGACUCCUACGGGAGGCAGCAGUGGGGAAUAUUGCACAAUGGGCGCAAGCCUGAUGCAGCGACGCCGCGUGGGGGAUGACGGCCUUCGGGUUGUAAACUCCUUUCGCUAGGGACGAAGCUUUUUGUGACGGUACCUAGAUAAGAAGCACCGGCUAACUACGUG